GCCAGCAUUGGCAUAGUGGUUUGAGCAUGGGACUAAAACUCUGGAAAUCAGGGUUCGAAUCCCCGCUGGGGUA